rnacentral:rRNA from 1 species
UACGUAGGGAGCAAGCGUUGUCCGGAAUCAUUGGGCGUAAAGCGCGCGUAGGCGGCCCGAUAAGUCCGCUGUAAAAGUUAACGGCUCAACUGUUGAAAGCCGGUGGAUACUGUCGGGCUAGAGUACGGAAGAGGCAAGUGGAAUUCCUGGUGUAGCGGUGGAAUGCGUAGAUAUCUGGAAGAACACCGGUGGCGCAAGCGGAUUGCUGGGCCAUAACUGACACUGAGGAACGAAAGCCAGGGGAGCAAACGGG